AAAAAAAAUGGGCUAAACGCCCAUCAUCUUAUUACCGGUGGUCGCACCUGAGCCGCACAUGAAAAAGCCGCACGCCCAGCGACUUCGCGAUUGUAGCCAUUU
rnacentral:sRNA from 1 species